CGCCUUAUACUCCUACGGGAGGCAGCAGUGGGGAAUAUUGCGCAAUGGGGGCAACCCUGACGCAGCCAUGCCGCGUGUGUGUAGAAGGCCUUCGGGUUGUAAAGCACUUUCAAUGGGGAAGAAAAGCGUAGCGUUAAUAGCGUUGCGCCGUGACGUUACCCAUAGAAGAAGCACCGGCUAACUCCGUGCCAGCAGCCGCGGUAAUACGGAGGGUGCGAGCGUUAAUCGGAAUUACUGGGCGUAAAGCGCGCGUAGGCGGUUUGUUAAGUCAGCUGUGAAAGCCCUGGGCUCAACCUGGGAACUGCAGUUGAUACAUGCCGACUAGAGUACGAGAGAGGGAGGUAGAAUUCCAUGUGUAGCGGUGAAAUGCGUAGAUAUAUGGAGGAAUACCGGUGGCGAAGGCGGCCUCCUGGCUCGAUACUGACGCUGAGGUGCGAAAGCGUGGGGAUCAAACAGGAUUAGAUACCCCUGUAGUCCACGUACCA
rnacentral:rRNA from 1 species